rnacentral:rRNA from 1 species
GGGGAAUAUUGCACAAUGGGCGAAAGCCUGAUGCAGCGACGCCGCGUGAGCGAAGAAGGCCUUCGGGUCGUAAAGCUCUGUCCUAUGGGACGAUAAUGACGGUACCAUAGGAGGAAGCCCCGGCUAGCUACGUGCCAGCAGCCGCGGUAAUACGUAGGGGGCGAGCGUUGUCCGGAAUGACUGGGCGUAAAGGGUACGUAGGCGGCCAGGUAAGUCAGGUGUGAAAGUCUAGGGCUCAACCCUAGAUAGCACUUGAAACUGCUUGGCUUGAGUCGAGGAGAGGAAGGUGGAAUUCCUGGUGUAGCGGUGAAAUGCGUAGAUAUCAGGAGGAAUACCAGUGGCGAAGGCGACCUUCUGGCCUUGGACUGACGCUGAGGUACGAAAGCGUGGGGAGCAAAC